rnacentral:rRNA from 1 species
AUGGCGACGACGACGGCGGCGGCGUACGGCGCGCUCAUUGCCUCCCUCCUCCUCCUCCUCGUGGCCGGCGCCGCCGCGGACGACGGGGCGGCGCUGCUGGAGGUGAAGAAGUCCUUCCGCAACGUCGGCAACGUGCUCUACGACUGGUCCGGCGACGACCACUGCUCCUGGCGCGGCGUCCUCUGCGACAACGUCACCUUCGCCGUCGCCGCGCUCAACCUCUCCGGGCUCAACCUCGAGGGCGAAAUCUCGCCGGCCGUCGGCGCCCUGAAGAGCCUCGUCUCGAUUGAUCUGAAGUCGAAUGGGCUGACCGGCCAGAUCCCGGAUGAGAUUGGGGAUUGCUCGUCGAUUAAGACGCUGGAUUUGUCCUUCAACAACUUGGAUGGCGACAUACCAUUCUCGGUGUCCAAGCUCAAGCACCUCGAAACCUUGAUAUUGAAGAACAACCAGCUGGUCGGCGCGAUCCCAUCGACGCUGUCACAGCUCCCAAAUUUGAAGACUCUGGACUUGGCACAAAACAAACUGAGUGGGGAGAUACCAAGGCUUAUCUAUUGGAAUGAGGUUCUUCAGUACCUGGGAUUGCGCGGCAACCAGUUGGAAGGAAUCCUCUCCCCGGAUAUGUGCCAGUUGACCGGCCUUUGGUACUUUGACGUGAAGAACAAUAGCCUGACUGGGGAGAUACCAGACACCAUUGGGAACUGUACGAGUUUUCAGGUCUUGGAUUUAUCCUACAAUCGAUUGACUGGAUCAAUCCCUUUCAACAUUGGCUUCCUUCAAGUUGCUACACUGUCCUUGCAAGGGAACAAGUUCACUGGUCCGAUCCCAUCAGUUAUUGGCCUCAUGCAGGCACUUGCUGUACUAGAUCUGAGUUACAACCAAUUAUCUGGCCCUAUACCGUCGAUACUGGGAAACUUGACAUAUACUGAGAAACUAUACAUGCAAGGCAACAGGUUAACUGGGACAAUACCACCAGAACUUGGGAAUAUGUCAACGCUUCAUUACCUAGAACUAAAUGAUAAUCAACUUACUGGGUCCAUUCCGUCGGAGCUGGGAAAGCUUACAGGCUUAUAUGACUUGAACCUUGCAAACAACAGCCUAGAGGGACCAAUUCCCAACAAUAUAAGUUCUUGCGUGAAUCUCAAUAGCUUUAAUGCCCAUGGCAACAAGUUAAAUGGGACCAUUCCUCGUUCUUUGUGUAAACUUGAGAGCAUGACCUCUUUGAAUCUGUCGUCAAAUCAUUUGAGUGGUCCUAUUCCUAUUGAGCUAUCAAGAAUCAACAAUUUGGACAUCUUGGAUUUAUCCUGCAACAUGAUUACCGGUCCAAUUCCAUCAGCCAUCGGCAGCUUGGAGCAUCUAUUGAAACUUAACCUGAGCAAGAAUGCUCUUGUCGGAUUCAUCCCUGCUGAGUUUGGGAACUUGAGGAGUAUCAUGGAGAUUGAUCUGUCCAACAACCAUCUUGGUGGUCUGAUUCCCCAAGAACUUGGAAUGCUGCAAAAUCUGAUGUUGCUAAAACUGGAAAAUAACAAUAUAACUGGGGAUGUCUCUUCACUGAUGAACUGCUUCAGCCUAAAUACCUUAAAUAUAUCAUUCAAUAAUUUGGCUGGCGUUGUCCCUACUGACAACAACUUCUCACGGUUUUCGCCUGACAGCUUCUUGGGUAAUCCUGGACUUUGUGGAUAUUGGCUUGCCUCGUGCCGUUCCUCCACCCACCAAGAGAAAGCACAAAUCUCGAAGGCUGCAAUACUCGGCAUUGCUCUGGGUGGGCUUGUUAUCCUCCUGAUGAUUUUAAUAGCUGUUUGCAGGCCGCAUAGUCCUCCUGUUUUCAAAGAUGUCUCUGUUAGCAAACCAGUGAGCAAUGUCCCCCCCAAGCUAGUGAUACUUAAUAUGAACAUGGCCCUCCAUGUCUAUGAAGACAUAAUGAGGAUGACUGAGAACUUGAGUGAGAAAUACAUCAUUGGGUACGGGGCAUCAAGCACAGUUUAUAAAUGUGUUCUGAAGAACUGCAGACCGGUGGCAAUCAAGAAGCUGUAUGCCCAGUACCCGCAAAGCCUGAAGGAAUUUCAAACUGAGCUUGAGACUGUCGGCAGCAUCAAACACCGGAAUUUAGUGAGCCUUCAGGGAUACUCCCUAUCACCUGUUGGGAAUCUUCUCUUCUACGAGUACAUGGAAAAUGGCAGCCUCUGGGAUGUUUUACAUGAAGGUCAAUCCAAGAAGAAAAAGCUCGAUUGGGAGACUCGCCUUCGGAUUGCUCUUGGUGCUGCUCAAGGCCUCGCUUACCUUCACCAUGACUGCAGUCCAAGAAUAAUCCACAGGGAUGUAAAAUCAAAGAAUAUCCUCCUUGACAAAGAUUACGAGCCACACCUUACGGACUUUGGCAUUGCUAAGAGUUUGUGUGUUUCAAAGACUCACACGUCGACUUAUGUCAUGGGCACUAUUGGGUACAUUGAUCCUGAGUACGCGCGCACCUCCCGCCUCAACGAGAAGUCCGAUGUCUACAGCUAUGGCAUCGUUCUGCUCGAGCUGCUGACGGGCAAAAAGCCCGUUGACAAUGAGUGCAAUCUCCAUCACUCGAUCCUAUCGAAGACGGCGAGCAACGCGGUGAUGGAGACUGUCGACCCCGACAUCGCAGACACGUGCCAGGACCUCGGCGAGGUGAAGAAGGUGUUCCAGCUGGCGCUCCUGUGCACCAAGAAGCAGCCGUCGGACCGGCCGACGAUGCACGAGGUGGUGCGCGUGCUGGACUGCCUGGUGCACCCCGACCCGCCGCCCAAGGCCGCCCAGCCGCAGCCGCCCACCGGCCCGAGCUACGCCAACGAGUACGUGAGCCUGCGUGGCGCCGGCACGCUGUCGUCCUGCGCCAACUCGUCGAGCACCUCGGACGCGGAGCUAUUCCUCAAGUUCGGCCAGGCCAUCUCCCACAACACAGAGUAG